rnacentral:rRNA from 1 species
CACGAAGGGGGCUAGCGUUGCUCGGAAUCACUGGGCGUAAAGCGCACGUAGGCGGAUCUUUAAGUCAGGGGUGAAAUCCCGGAGCUCAACUCCGGAACUGCCUUUGAUACUGAGGGUCUUGAGUCCGGGAGAGGUGAGUGGAACUGCGAGUGUAGAGGUGAAAUUCGUAGAUAUUCGCAAGAACACCAGUGGCGAAGGCGGCUCACUGGCCCGGUACUGACGCUGAGGUGCGAAAGCGUGGGGAGCAAACAGG